rnacentral:rRNA from 1 species
AUGCUUCGCAAGCCUGCCAUGGAGGUCGCCGUAAAGAGGAUGUCACACGAUUCAAGGCAAGGAGUAAGGGAGUUCAUUGCAGAGGUGGUGAGCAUUGGUCGUCUUCGACACCGACAUAUCACACAAUUGUUAGGCUACUGCAGACGGAAGGGUGAGCUUCUCCUGGUUUAUGAUUACAUGGAAAAUGAUAGUCUUGACAAGUAUCUGCACACAAGAAAUGGCCCAACGCUAUGUUGGUCCCAGAGGUAUUCAAUCAUCAAAGGUGUGGCAUCAAGUUUAUUGUAUCUACAUGAGGAAUGGGAGCAGGUUGUCAUUCACCGAGAUAUAAAGGCAAGCAAUGUGCUAUUGGAUAGUAAGAUGAAUGGAUGGUUAGGCGAUUUUGGUUUGGCAAGGAUAUAUGACCAUGAAAACACCGCUGAAACCACCCAUGUGGCUGGCACCAUGGGAUAUCUUGCGCCUGAACUCUCACGCGCGGGGAGGCCAACACCCUUCUCCGAUGUGUACGCAUUUGGCGUGUUUCUCCUAGAGGUCACAUGUGGACGCAAGCCAAUCUUCAUCGAUGAGCAGAACAGUCGGGUGUUGUUGAUCGAGUGGGUGCUUGAGCACCACCACAACGGCUCAAUGCUCGACAUGGUGGAUCCACGACUCGGGCGGGAAUUCAACACGGAAGAGGUAACCAUCGUGCUCAAAUUAGGUUUGCUAUGCACAUAUCCAUUGCCCAACGCGCGGCCUAUCAUGCGAAAGGUCAUGCAGUACCUCGACCAUGAUCAAUUGCCUCCUGAUUUAUCACCAGCCUACAUAAGCUACAUCAUGAUGGCCCAAAUGCAAAAUGAAGGGUUUGAUUCGCACAACAUGCCAUGUUCUCAACCCAUAGCGAGUGUUGCCACUGUAUCAGGAGAGUCCUCGGCGACUAUUUUGCGAGAGGGAAGAUGA